rfam:Gossypium raimondii Chr11_contig_1304, whole genome shotgun sequence.
GAUGGGAGAAUGACAAAUUAGAUUUUUCCUACUGAUUUUCAGAUUUUUCCUCCUGAAAAAUUUAAAUCCAACUAAAAAUGCCAAAAAUUAGAAGGAAAUCUGAUUUGUUAUUCUCUCAUU